CCCCUUUUCAUUUGGCGGGCGAUCCCUAUAUGGGGACGUGCCGGCUUGCCGGCUAUGGUGAUAAACUGCGGCGUGCAAUAGGCGCAGCGGACCCGGGGGCGGUACCCGGCGGCUCCACCACCUUUCCCGUUCGUUCUUUUGGGGCGAUCGGGGCAGAUGACGGGGCCGAACUAGGAUCGACGUGUGUUGAAAAGCGCUGUUUUCGCCCGGGCUGAGUAACCCGUUCAAGGCUCAAAACCAACAAGUGCCAACGACAACGAAGCACUUGCUCUCGCGGCGUAAUUCUAGGGGCUAACGCCCUGAAGUUACAAAGCCAGAACGCGGUUGGACCCACCGGUCAACAGAAGCGGAUUCCAGCGGCUUGGGGGGUGCCGGGCAACAGAAACCCCCUACC
rnacentral:tmRNA from 1 species